rnacentral:rRNA from 1 species
UACGUAGGGGGCUAGCGUUGUCCGGAAUCAUUGGGCGUAAAGCGCGUGUAGGCGGUCCGGUAAGUCCGCUGUGAAAGUCGGGGGCUUAACCCUCGGAUGCCGGUGGAUACUGUCGGGCUUGAGUACGGAAGAGGCGAGUGGAAUUCCUGGUGUAGCGGUGAAAUGGCGCAGAUAUCAGGAGGAACACCGAUUGCGAAGGCAGCUCGCUGGGACGUAACUGACGCUGAGACGCGAAGGCGUGGGGAGCAAACAGG